GACGAACGCUGGCGGCGUGCUUAACACAUGCAAGUCGAACGGAAAGGCCCUGCUUUUGUGGGGUGCUCGAGUGGCGAACGGGUGAGUAACACGUGAGUAACCUGCCCUUGACUUUGUGAUAACUUCAGGAAACUGGGGCUAAUACCGGAUAGGAGCUCCUGCUGCAUGGUGGGGGUUGGAAAGUUUCGGCGGUUGUGGAUGGACUCGCGGCUUAUCAGCUUGUUGGUGGGGUAGUGGCUUACCAAGGCUUUGACGGGUAGCCGGCCUGAGAGGGUGACCGGCCACAUUGGGACUGAGAUACGGCCCAGACUCCUACGGGAGGCAGCAGUGGGGAAUAUUGCACAAUGGGCGGAAGCCUGAUGCAGCAACGCCGCGUGCGGGAUGACGGCCUUCGGGUUGUAAACCGCUUUCGCCUGUGACGAAGCGUGAGUGACGGUAAUGGGUAAAGAAGCACCGGCUAACUACGUG
rnacentral:rRNA from 1 species